rnacentral:rRNA from 1 species
UGGGGAAUCUUGGACAAUGGGGGCAACCCUGAUCCAGCCAUGCCGCGUGAGCGAUGAAGGCCUUAGGGUUGUAAAGCUCUUUCACCGGUGAAGAUAAUGACGGUAGCCGGAGAAGAAGCCCCGGCUAACUCCGUGCCAGCAGCCGCGGUAAUACGGAGGGGGCUAGCGUUGUUCGGAAUUACUGGGCGUAAAGCGCGCGUAGGCGGAUUGUUAAGUCGGGGGUGAAAUCCCGGGGCUCAACCCCGGAACUGCCUCCGAUACUGGCAAUCUAGAGGUCGAGAGAGGUGAGUGGAAUUCCGAGUGUAGAGGUGAAAUUCGUAGAUAUUCGGAGGAACACCAGUGGCGAAGGCGGCUCACUGGCUCGAUACUGACGCUGAGGUGCGAAAGCGUGGGGAGCAAACAGGAUUAGAUACCCCCGUAGUCC